GAAACAGGGGAGCUUGCCAGGCAGGCUGAGAGGAAGCAAAGGCUUCGACCCGUGACCUGAUCCGGAUAAUACCGGCGUAGGGAAAUACAGAA
rnacentral:ncRNA from 1 species